AGGAAGGAGGUGCCCAAGAAAACAGGUUUAGAUUUGGAAAUCAGGAGAUCUCUGGGGGCUUUCAAGAGAAUUAUUUGAGUGGUGGGUUGUGUAGACAAGAUUGCCACUCCUUGGGGGGCAUCAGGAUCCUGGAUCCAGUUGGUUGAUCCAGGGACACAAAGGUUCAUUUCUUUGAUUUCCUUCACGGGGACUCCGAAGGGCCUCCCCAGAGCCACAGCUUCCAGAGGGAUCUGACGAGGCCUCUGUGGAAAGCAACGCAGUUCAAGUUCAGUCUCUGCCUAAUCCUGUUUUCCUCACUCUCUCAAGGUGAGUGAGGUCUAUGGGGGUAAGCCCCCCCGCCUCCCCGUAGACCUCCUGGAAUGCCUGGAACAGCUCAGCAACCUGGGCACAGGUGGCUUGAGACAACCUAGCCAUUCGGGCCUGCUGCCAGAGUGAACGCCACAGGGAGGCCUGCCGGGUCUGGGGAGCAUGAGCUGGUCAGGCCCCCAGUAGACCCCUUGCAGGCUGAUCUCCAUCUCCAUGCAGAGUCUGUAUCCUAGAAAUCCAACCUGAGAUCCUGCGGCACCGAGAAAGGGAAGCUGUUUCAAGAGAUAGGAAUUGUCAGAAAAAGCCGGAGAAGGUGGUGUUAAAGGAAAACAUUGAGAAUGGGGAGUGAAGACGAGGGUUUUUCGUAGCAGAAGAUGGAUCUUCGAAAGCCAGGAGGCAGAGGAGAGCAACGCUGUCGGUGAGAUAAAGACUCUUGACAGAGCCAUUCCUGGGAAAAACAGCUCCGUUCUUGGAGACAGGAAACAAUGCCCUCAGCAUACAGAUCAGAGACAGCUUGUCUGACUUGGCCCGCUUCCCCAUCUUUAAAAUGGGGAGGUCUUCCUGCCUCGGCUUACCAAAGCGCUGGGAUUACACAUGAGCCAUGUGCCCAGGAGAGUCGCUUGAGCCCAGGAGUUCGACACCAGGCGGGGAAACACAGGGAGACCUCGUCUUUACCAAAACCAAAUAUAUACAUAAAAUAAAAUAAAGUAAAAUACAAUAAAAUACAAUAAAAAAUGGGGAGAAACUCCUCCUAGGAUUCUUUUUACAGUCUUAGAGAAUGGAAACUGGCCUUGGUUUCUUCAUCCAUGUGAAAAAUAGAGCUAAAAAGCCUCUCGUCAGCACCUUUCUCUCUUCUAGCAGGACUGAGGAAUGACCAGAGGUUAAAUGUUGAUGAGCUGAAUUAGCUUCAGUUCAAUCUGCAUUUGACUAGGAACUUGAUGACUGAGGCUGCUCAUUUUUGCAACAAUACCUGGGGUAGAGAAAUGACUGUAGAAUUGAACCUCACAAUCUCAGGUGUAAUUCCCAUGAGAAAGAUAUUACACCAGAAAUAGGAGGUUUCCAGCUGUUCUCAGGCAUGCUUUCAAUGACACUAAGAACAUCAGUUGCACUAAUUGGUGCUUGAAAUAAUUAUUGAUCUUCAUCAGGAGUGUCAAAAGCAUUGCUCAAAUGUCCAACUGCUUGUCAUGCUCUCUUGGCAUUCUACGCGAAGGACUUCACAGACUGUUUCUUUCCCAGGAGAGCAUUAGCUAAGGCAAAACAUAGAAAAACACAUCUAGGAUACAGAUAACAUAAGUACAGACAGCUGAGCAAAUAUAUAAAUAACACCCGAAAUGACACUUAAAUAUUUACAGCUGGAGAUUUCUGCUACGUGCAGCACAUACUGCUAAUCCUCUCUCAUCUCCAGGAAGUUUUCAAAAACCUGCUUCUGUAACUAGUGGACAGGUCUUCUGGAUCCAAGGUCACCUGCUGGGGAGAAAGAGAAGCCUUUGGAUAAACAUCACAAGUUUUCCUGGAACAUGGAUUUUAUUUAAGAUUUUUUGGAAAGAAGGGAAUAAGGUUUUUACCUUUGUAAUGUUUUUACAAAUAUUUUCAAAAGUGUAACAUGUAUAUGUGCUCAUUUUAGAAAAUUUGAUCAGUAUAAAAUAUUAAAGAAGAAAGUAAAAGCUCAUUUGGAAUCUUAUCUGUUGGAAGGAAUCACUGUCUUGCUAUAUGUUGGUGAAUAUCCUUUUGAUGAUGUGUAUGUGUGUCAGUGUGUGUUUGUAACUUGAAUUUUUAAAGUUUGAGAAUAUAUUCUAGUCGUCUU
rnacentral:lncRNA from 1 species